GGCCUUUCAGGUGUAGUGGUAGCACGCGCCACCAUAAGGUGGAACGUGGGUUCAACUCCCGCCUGAGGUCG